GCCCCCGUAGCUUAGUAGCUAUAGCGGCAGCUUCGUAAGCUGCAGGUCGAGAGUGCAACUCUCUCCGGGGGCU
rnacentral:tRNA from 1 species